CCCGACUCCCUCGCGACAUUACCUCCCUCGCCGACUCUUGCUUUCUCGCCGACUAAUUUCUCGCAUCUCGCCGACUCUUCUACGCAUAUCUUUCCGGCAUCGUGUAUCUCGCCGUUGCCGACUCUGCUGCUCGUCGCCGACUUUGUGUAUCUCGCCUCUGUUGCUCUCUCUCAAAAGGAACAAUAUAGAGAGCGACAAAAUGUUGAUGAUCACUCUACACAUCCAUCAUUCAAUCUCAAAUAAUGGUGGGAUGUGGUGGGUGGCCGAUAUAAGGGAAGGGUGUAUGUAUUUGGAUGCAAUCAAUACUUUGGAAGAUCAUACAAUGUAACUUUCAAUGAAAUGUGCUCCAAUGAAAAAAACAAAGAACUAUCACAAGAAAUUGAAGAUAUGCGUGCUACUAGCAAGAGGAUGGAGAAAGAAAUUAUUGAAAGCAAAAACAAAUUGGAACUCGUAUCACAGAAAAUAGGCAAAGGGAAGAUAAACUUAUCGAGGAAGGUAGACAAAGGGAAGAAAAACUUAUGGAGGAAGGUAGACAAAGAGAAGAAAAUCUCAUGGAGAUGGUUCGUAAGAUGAUUCAAGAGGUGGGAUUAUUUUAUGAAUAUUUGGAUAAAUAUUUGGAUGAUGUGAUAUUUUUGGAUUAAAAAUUAAUUGUUUUAAAUAUUUUUAAUUUA